CAACACCACAUAUUAGUGGACAGAGUGAGGCAUGGAGGAGGCUCUUACACCUCCGUUCUCUGUUCGUUGUCUGGGGCGGGGGGGCAGGAGGAGGAGCUGGCCUUCUGGUCAGGGUCUGGGCUGGUGGGCCUCCCCGCUGCUGUGGGUCUGCUUGUUUCCACCUCAGAGUAAAAGGGACCAUCUCCUGGCCCCUUCAAGGAGUGCUGUACAGUAUGUUUGAGGAGUGUGAGUGUGUGUAAUGUGCUCAGUACUGUGUGUUUCCAUGUUGAGUCAGUGCUGAGUAUUUGCAUAUGUGUGCAUGAGGGUGGGAAUGCAUGUUUGUGUCUGUGUGUGCCUGUUUGUUUUACGUGAGGGUUCCUGAUGGUUAGGGACAAAUGCAAUCGCAUGGCAGGAUGCUGUAAACGGACCAAACUUCAGUCAGGAGAACAACUGAGAUAAUCCAUCCACAAUACGAGUUGCCUACGUUUCUCUUCAUACCUCGCCUACCUGCAGCUUAGGAUCCUGGAUACUGAUCUCCACUGCAGUUAUCGUUUGAUGGCAAUUCAGGCCUCUCCAGUUUUGCACCAUUCGCCAUCUCUACCUGCCUACCCUCCUGCCAUCGUCUCUCGCAGAUCACCGGAAAGAGAAAAGUUGGAAUCAUUCCUCUCAUCCACACUCUGGACCUCACCUGGCCAUCCACCUCCACUGAGGUGUGUUUUGCUUCACCCGCAAGUAAGUUUGGACCCAUUCGUCAAGAACUUCUCCAUAGUGUAGUCAUCUAGUUCUCCAUGUAGCAGUAAAAUAAAUUCUCUGAAACUUUUGCCUUCCCUGUUUGAAUAUGCUCUUGGGUCCAAAUCCUUGCACCAGCCUCCAGGUCCCCAUGACAGUUCCAGCUUUAAGUAGACAACCUAAUUGCUGAUGAACAGCAGGUGAGUCAGAACAGCUGACUGCUGACAGGUGACUAGCCAACAGGAAGGCACAACAACAAACAGAGAGAGCAAGGAAAAGACAAAAGGAGAGAAAGGUGGGACAGCGCGAGAGACUCUGGGACCAUAACACUACUAGUAAAGUUUUAACUACAUUUUAAUUUUUGUUAUUGCAGUGUUUGGCACAAUUUAUAGGAAAUUUCAAUGUUUUUAUGCAUGCAAAUAUUCUUCAUUGUUUAUAAAAAGCCUCAAAUUAAGUAAUAUGACAAAUAUCUUUGUUAUUUUUUGUUAUUUAACUUUAUUAUGAUUAUAACAAAUACUGUAUAUUUAUUUUCUACCUAAUUUAACUGUGUGUCUUUUAUUGCGUGCUUUUUAUCUGUUUUGUUAUUUAUAUUUCUUGCACAGUAGGAGCACCCACAAUUUUGUUGCAUAUGUACAAUGACAAUGAAGAGCCAUUCUAUUCUAGUCUAUUACUGAGAUGCCCCACCUACCUACUGUUUUCUUUUUUCCAUCUUUUUCCUUCUUACAGCCUUCCAUCACCCAUUCAUUUUUUCUAUGCUGUAGAUAUAACUUAUUUAACAUGUCUUGAAAUACAAGUGGACUGUAGUUCUCCUCACAGGCAGCUUUUCAUUAACUGCAUUAAGUACAAUUAUCCAGGCUUCACCUUUCAGAACUAUCUAAAAGCAUGCUUUGCUUAAAUGUAACUCAGUAGCUUGGAAGAAUGUUUGUUUUAUUUUUUUGUUUUUUUUUUCCAUGCACAAGUAAUAUCACAUCUAUUGUGCAACUUUCAAAAAAUUGAAAAGCUGUCAUGUUAUGAUAAAAUAAAAGGAAGAAAAUAAACAUGUAUGAACAGAAAUAGGUGCCAACAUACAGUACCAGAAUCCAGUACCAGGAUCUCCAGCACUUUAGCCUUAAUUUCAACAGUAGAUAAUUCAAUAUGGAUUCACAACUAAAGUGCUUUAACCACUUUGUGUCCGAUGUAAAACACACUAAAAGCCAGACUCUGUAUUUUCAUCAUAGACUUGCAUGAGUAUAACCAGGAACCUCACACCAAUUUCCCAGCACACUAAUGUAAUGUCAUCUCACAGCAAAGGUUUUAGGUUUAAACCUGCUGGCCAUCUCAGGCCUUUAUAUUUGGAUUUUGCAAGUUCUCCUUAUCCCUGUGUGGGUUUCCUGCAGGUACUCUGGUUUACUCCCACAACUGUAAGAGGUGUGGGAGUAAGCAUGUUAGGUCAGCUGGGGAUUCUAAAUCGACGAUAAAUGUUAGACUGUGUUUGUAAUGUAAUGUAUUCACAUUUAUAUACUGUGGCCAAAGAGACCUUACUGUCUCUCUGUGUUAUCCCUGUGAUAGAUAACCAACAUUUAUAUGGCAACAAAUUUUGACAUAUGGAGUACGUGGCAGGUUAUCCAGUCUGACACAAACUACAAGAAGAACACCAACAGCUCUGAGAUCAGAGAUGCUGCCCUGAACAGUUUCUAUGCAAGUUUCCAGCUCAACACCAUGGGGAGCACAGCAGGUGACCCCCAUAAGACAAUGGGUUCUGACAAAGUGUCACCAAUAUUCUAAAGGCCUGAGCUGAAAAGUUAGGAUGUGUAUGCAUAGACAACUUCAAUCAGUCUCUAAGAGUCACAGAAGUCCCACACGCAUUAAAAGAAUCCAUCAUCACUCCUUUGUCAUCGUUCCCAAAAACAAACAGACUCAUCCACCAUGCAAUGACAGGCCAUGAAGGGCUUUGUUGACCCAGACACUGUUGACCCUCAACAUUUUGCCACUUUCAUCAUCAAGUAUGUUGAUGACACAAUCAUCCUGGGCCUCAUAAGGGUAAGGAUGAGGGACAUUAUGUCCCUAGCAGUUCUCAGGUAAUAGUCCUAUACAAACAUCAGAAAAAGUGUACCCAUUCCCUUAAAAUAUUCCAAUGACUAAUUUAGAAUUCCUGAUUAAUCUUGACCAUAAUCAUCAACCACAACCUAAAUCUAAUCUCACCCUAAAAUUGAAUCAAUUCUUCAAAGAUGUAAAUUAUGGGGAUUUUUUUUUCCACAAAAUGGAGGCUGGUCACUGCACUGACCAGUAGCAAUACAAGUCAGCAUGUUUUUCACUUUUUGUUUUCUCUUAAAGCAAUAAUGUAUAAAGGAUUGGACAAAAGUGUUUAUUAUUACUGUUUUCUACGGUAGUACAACACUGAACAUUUAAAUAGCACUUCUGUGUUCUGGUGGCCAUGCUUAGUAAAGCGCUGAGUAAAGCGCUAUACAAAUGCAGGCCAUUUGCCAUGCUUAGUAAGCAAAGAAAUAGUCUUUGGUCUCAUCAGCCAAAGCCCUACACACAUCACAGUUCCUACUCCAUGCUUCACAGUGGAAACUACGUAGAAAUCAUUUCCAUAAAUUCUCUGUUAAAGACAGCUAAAACCAAAAAUCUCUUUGGCUCAAUGGACUGGUGUUUUUUGCGACUGCACAUACUGAAAAAUAAAUGUUCCCGACUGAUCUUGUCUUGUAGUUGUUAUGGUUUGUGAUGGACUGAGCAGUAAAGGACAGUCAGGCACUAAGGCUCUAAAUCUUGGCCAAUAAAAGAGGUCAGAAACUCAAAAACUGGCAACAAAACAACACUGACUCAAACAAGCUGACCUUUCAAAAGGAGACAAAGGGGAAACUUAAAUACUGGCUGAUCAGCCCACAAAGACACUAACAUAGCAAAUCUCAUUUUCCCCCAUGAUCCAGAGUUGUGGUAUGACAACAGGUCUCCAUGUAGGCUUGCUCCACCCUUUUCCCCCGUCUUAGCUCAUCAGCCAAGAUGAGCAAAGAAAAAGAUUAACUCAAGUUAUACAUAUAACAGUGUUAACUAAAAUGCAAUUAUUUUAGAAUACAGUAUUAUGUGACUGUAUGAAUAAAUUAAUUCUACACCAAAAAUAAUUCUCUAUUACUGUAAAUUAAAUCCUUUAUUUAAAGAAAGCUAAAUAUACAGUUUUAGAACACCGCAAUUUUUCCAGUGUUUUUUAUUGAAAAUUAUGCAGUUUAAUGUCUCAUUGUACAAAAAAAGCAAUUGGACUUAAAAAUAAAUCAUGAAAUCAAUUUAUGGACCAAAAUGAACCAAAACUUUGACUCAUCAGUAGCCACCUUUGGCAGAUAUAACAGCUGAACACACCUGUGGCUUCUUUCUACAAUAGAAAUCAAAUCUGUAGCAGAAGUUCCCAUAAAUGUGGACCUUGUAGGUUGCUUUGCUUUCACUCUUCUGUCCAGUUCAUCCCAAACCAGCUUGAUGGGGUUUAAGUCUGGAGACUGUGCUGGACACUCCAUGUUUUCAAGCUCACCAUCUUGUUCUUUUUCCUGAGGUAGUUCUGACACAGCUUGGACUUGUGUUUUGGGUCACUGUAGGAACCAACUAGGAAUAACUAGCCUCAUACCAGAGGGUACUGCAUGCAGAAUGCUGUGGUAGCUGUUUUGUUUCAGGAAGCAAUGUUCCCUCUAAGCUGCGCGCGUGCGCAAUUGCACACUGCUGGCACGGUCUCUGCGCACAGAAAAUCUGCGUUGCACACACAAAAAAAAUCUAACCUGAAUUGAAAUUAAAAUUAAAACUUUAACAAUUCUGUUUUGCAUUGUUAGUCAGUAAGUGACUGGCUGCUCCCGUAUGGGAUUAGAACGAUGCCACCUUAUCCCAUAGUCCAGCCAAUAAUGCGAUUCACAUUCGUAUAUACGCAGCUAAUCAACGUGGUUGACAGGCUAUGACAGCGUCCUUAUGUGCCGACACCGGUGUUUUAGCUAGCAAAGCGGCGUGGCUGAUGUGGAGUGAAGCCACGUUAAUGACAACGUGUACAACCAUUGGAGAUGUGAGCAGGACAGACGGAACAGCUGACGGAACAAGUGUGGACUUUAUACCAGUUUUUAAAUUGUGUUGAUCGGCCACGUAAAACCAGAGUUAUGAUAAAAAUAUCUGCAAUGUUUGGUUUUCUUCCUGAAUACUAUCGUUGUUUAUAUUUACUGCGGGAAGAAACGGUAAAAACGGCGUUUUAUAAGGAAAACGCUCGAAAGCACUCUCCACCUGUGAGCAAAAACAAAACCAAAAACCCCCCAGCCUUUCCUAUUGGUGGAAAAAUUUACCAUGUCGACCAAUCAAAAAAUGAUAUGGCAACAUGGCAUUUAGUUGUUUAGGAAGGAGGAAGUUUUAGGAGUGACGGCGGUGUUUUGAGAUGUGAGAGAUUUGCGACGUUUAGCACAAAUCUUGUGUAGUUAGUGUGUAGUUAGUGUGUAGUGUAGUCAGUAGUUUUGUUGUGUGUGUCAGAACAAUGAGGCGACUGCUGAAUGUUACAGGUGUUACAGGAGUGAUACAUCUCCUGUUGUCAGGCCUGCAGGUAUCAGGCUGUUGUUCUCCUUUAUCUCAUAGUGGACACAAAUUAUUUUUGGAGUGGCACAAAUAAUUUGUGUGGCAUCAGAUUUGAUGCAGAACAGCUGAUUGUUCUGUAAAUAGUUUGAAAUGUUUAUUUAAAAAAACACCUUGGCUGCAUUUUUAGGUAAACAGCUGCAAAAAACUUUGUUUGCAAAACUCAGUUACUUUUUUGAAGAAGUAACUAUAUAAUUAAUUGCCCAACAUUGGUCUUUAUAUACUGUAUUUUGCAGACAGAGAGUUACAGGACUCUCUCCCAGACCACAGACUCAUAAUACAAGUCAGAGCUUUAUAAAAAAAAGAAAGUUGUGUUUUCAAAAUUGGAGUUCAAGUUAUUUUUACUUCCAAUAGUGUUAACAUACUACACAGGUCAUGAACAAGAUUUUUUUUUUUCAUUGUAAGUGGGUUAAAGCACUUAAUUAAAAGUAGUCUAACAUAAAUGUAAAUGCUGUAAUUUGAUUAUUUUAAUAAACCAUGUAACUUGGAUGGAUUGGAUGCUGGCGUGACCACAGUGCUAGUGACGUGUCGGUCGCGAAUGAAACGGCCCUUAGAGUCGGAUCUUUGAGGUGAACGACGCGAGCCGUGGAUUUUUUUUCCUUCUCUCACCCUCUCUCUUGCACUUUUUUUCCGCUUCACUCCGCACGCGAGCCUUGUGCUUUGCGCUGGGCAGAGGGGGGAGGGGCGGUAGUUACACUCAGUAGCACAGGAACAGAGCGGGAGGGAGAGAGAGAGAAAGAGAGCCAGGGACAACAACGUCACAUUAGAAAGGUAUAGUAAUCAUCCACAACUAUUUUCAGUUGCGGAUGAUAAAGGAUUCAGAAAGUUUAUUCAUGCAGGCCCAUAUGACAGAGAAUAUGCAUCUUCUUUUUGUUUUCAUAUUUUAAUUUAUAUUUAAUUGUGUUGUGGUUUGUAGUGUUUUGUGUUGUUUCACUUUAAAUUUGUUUAAAAGGAAAAAGCUGAAAAUUUAAAUAGUUAAAAGUUGAAAUGUGAAUAGUUGGUUUUUGUAUUAUAUGAUUUAUUUAUUACAUUUUAUGUGGAGUGAAUAAAUAAAAGUAUAUUUACGGUGGCCCCUAGAGACAAAGCACGCGCAAACUUCAAAACACGUAAAAACUCAAAACAUGUACAAAACACAACAGAAGUGCUCCAGGAUGCUAGGCCCAGUGUUGAGCUUUUGUUACCUAGUGGCUACACAAGCCAGGAAGUACCAACAACCGGAUUUGGUGUGUGGUAGUAACAGGUAAAUGAACAUUUUUUUUAAUUAUUUGAAUAUAUAUGAGUGCUUGUGUAUAAAUACACAAACAAUACACAUAUGCUUUCAAUUGUGUAAUUUAAGUGAUCUAGGUAGCUCUGUUUGGAAUUUCAGUUAACACUAGCAAUGUGUUUUGGAGUUUGUACGUGCUUUGUCUCUAGGGGCCACCGCAUAUAUUUAUAUAUAAACAUAUAUAAAUACAACCACUUCUUUUUUUACAUUAGUAAUUCCUUUUGAGCAUAAUUUUAUAUUGUUGUUAAUAAUAAAUUAAUUAAAGCAACAAAACAACCUGAAGAGCCGGUUAGGAGCCGAAUGAGCCGGUUCUCUAAAAAGAGCCGAAAUCCCACACGUCUGCUGUUGCUCACAGUGGUCCAAGGGAAAGAGUCCAACAAAGAUCCUUCGUGAUGAACCGAAGGUUUCAAACUUUGAUCCAUCAGUCCAUAAUAGCUUCUUCCAGUCUUCAGUAGUCCAGUGUCGGUGUUUCAUGGCCCAGACAAGCCUCUUUGUCUUAUUCUGACGUCUGGCUUUCUUACUGCAACUCGUCCUGUCAAACCUGCAGCUUGAAGUUUUCUCUUCACAGCUGAAACUGAGACUUUCUCACUACGACCACUAUUAAACUGCUUGAAGCUGUUGUCCUGUGAGCCGCCUAUCACACAGCUGUUAACUCUCAGAAACUUGUCCUCUGAUUCAGUCGUGUCUUUGGGUCUGUCAGUAAUCCAGAAAUGUUGGAACACCUGUAGGAAUUAGUAGCAGCAGCUUACAAGGCUUGAUCAACCUCCAUUGCUGCAGAACUGCUUUAAACUGUUAACCAUGUUGUCCCUGAAAAAGGCCUUUUGUAUAAUUCUGAAAUAUACAUUAUUUUUCAGUUUUGGCUAACCUUACCUUUUUUUCACAACUUACCUUUGUAUCAUUCAAGCUAUUUAUUGGACUUGAAUGAUUUGAAUUGGAAUAAAUAAUUGAAAAUAUUGGGGUGUUCAAAACUUGAUCACUAGUGUAAGUGUAGUGCUAUGUAUAAGUCUCUAUUGUUGCACUGUGAUGUUUGGUAGAUAUUACCCAAUAUGUGUGGCUGUAACUGCAGCCAUCACAUGACUUUAGGUUUCCUUUCAGGCACCAUAUGCUUCUUUUUUAAAUCACCUUUCUCCUUUUACUUUACUUACCUGUACAUUUGACAUUAAGGUCACUUUGUCAUUUGCCAUGCUUGUGUUUGAUUGGUAAAUCGCCCACCCAAAGACUAACUUCUCUUUGUUUUCCAGUGGUCAUAUUUUCAAGUCAUUUCAUGUUUUCCUGAAAGUUCUUUGUGUUGCUACGCCCGAAUUUCUAGUUAGCUUUUUUCCUUUGAAUAUCUUAAGCUGUGU